GCGAGGCGGACAGCGCGCGCGGGCAGCGCGUGAAACGCCCUUCUGCACGAGACGGAAAAGUACCUUAGACGCGCGGAUGCAGAACCGCGGCGGUAAGAGACGACAAGUGAGCGAAGAGAACAGGCGGACAGAUGAGACGCGCAGGUGGCGAAGGGAGCGUCGAGGAGACGGGAGACACCACGCACGCACGCACGCACGCACGCGCGCGCGCGCACUAUCUCCGAAGGAAAACGGCAACGUUUAACAGCAGCGCAAGAGCUGAGACGGCAAUACUAGCAAAGCUUGAAGCCUUGGAGGGGUUUUACCUCAUCAUCGCCUGCUGGGGACCAGCCUCCAAGGCUCUGAAGCACCUUCAAGACCCCUUAUAAUAUAUUUCAUAUAUUGCACAAAAAUGUUGAAUUCAAAUAGCUUUUUUUUAGACCACAAGGGAGCCGCGUGACCCAGCAGCGUGUGGGGUCCCCUCCCUCCUCUUUCAUGCUACCUCCAGCUUGUAGCUCCCACUCCCUUCCCACACCUCAUCACAAACUGUUUCUCAUCUAGCCACUUAACACCGCUAGCGAAUGAUGCAUGAGAAAAUUUCCGCAUUUAAUAUUUCAAAUAUGGCAAAAUAGCAAAGUUACUGCAGUGAACAUAUCCAUGUACUCCGACGAGCUCUGUUAAAUACAGUAUUGCACGGGCCGCCGUGAUAUUGUAGCUGCACACAUUUAUUCCAAGAAUGUGUCUUUGUACAGUUGAUGUAGUCGUUGUUAGCGUCUUUAACACACACUGUCCUGGAUGAAUGCAACCAGAUUUAAGUGUUAGGGUUGUGUCAUAUGACAGCAAAGGGUCGCUCUUGCACUGAUACUCGAUACUCUAUACUCGUAUUUUGCUGCUGUAUACUGUAUAUAUACUGUAUAUAUUCGUUCCUGUGUGCGGUUUUACUUUCAGAACAUUUCUCCUGUAAAGUUGCCCUUCCUCAGCUCAAAGGAGACUUGGUUACCUUCACGGAGGAUUUUAAAUAUCAUAAUUGCAAUUUGUAACCGAUAAGGUGAGUCUGGGGGGGGUUGCAGUGGGUUGAACCGGGUCCUGCUCUCCGGUGGGUCUGGGGUUCGAGUCCUGCUUAGGGUGCCUUGCGAUGGACUGGGGUCCCGUCCUGGGUGUGUCCCCUCCCCCUCCGGCUUUAUGUCCUGUGUUGCCGGGUUAGGCUCCGGCUCCCCGCGACCCUGUAUGGGACAAGUGGUUUCAGAUGGUGUGUGUUUGUGUGUGUGUGGGCGUUGACUCUGAAUUUGCGAUUGCUUCUGUAACAUAAGGAAACAUUGUUAUAUGGUGCUGACUUAACCAUUCCUCUCGGACCCUUUUUCUCAAAUCAGGCUCAGGAACUAGAGGAAC
rnacentral:lncRNA from 1 species